UACGUAGGUGGCAAGCGUUGUCCGGAUUUAUUGGGUUUAAAGGGUGCGUAGGCGGCCCCAUAAGUCAGUGCUGAAAUACUCUAGCUCAACUAGAGGGGUGGCAUUGAUACUGCGGGGCUUGAGUGGAGUCGAGGUAGGCGGAAUUGACGGUGUAGCGGUGAAAUGCUUAGAUAUCGUCAAGAACACCGAUAGUGUAGACAGCUUACUAGGCUUCAACUGACGCUGAGGCACGAAAGCGUGGGGAGCAAACAGG
rnacentral:rRNA from 1 species